CCUACGGGUGGCAGCAGUGGGGAAUAUUGGACAAUGGGGGGAACCCUGAUCCAGCCAUGCCGCGUGUGUGAAGAAGGCCCUCGGGUUGUAAAGCACUUUCAGUGAGGAAGAACGCCUGGUGGUUAAUACCCAUCAGGAAAGACAUCACUCACAGAAGAAGCACCGGCUAACUCCGUGCCAGCAGCCGCGGUAAUACGGAGGGUGCGAGCGUUAAUCGGAAUUACUGGCGUAAAGCGCGCGUAGGUGGCUUGAUAAGCCGGUUGUGAAAGCCCCGGGCUCAACCUGGGAACGGCAUCCGGAACUGUCAAGCUAGAGUGCAGGAGAGGAAGGUAGAAUUCCCGGUGUAGCGGUGAAAUGCGUAGAGAUCGGGAGGAAUACCAGUGGCGAAGGCGGCCUUCUGGACUGACACUGACACUGAGGUGCGAAAGCGUGGGUAGCAAACAGGAUUAGAUACCCGUGUAGUC
rnacentral:rRNA from 1 species